rnacentral:rRNA from 1 species
GACGAACGCUGGCGGCGUGCUUAACACAUGCAAGUCGAACGGUAAGGCCCUUCGGGGUACACGAGUGGCGAACGGGUGAGUAACACGUGGGUGAUCUGCCCUGCACUUCGGGAUAAGCCUGGGAAACUGGGUCUAAUACCGGAUAGGACCCUGGGAUGCAUGUCCUGGGGUGGAAAGCUUUUGCGGUGUGGGAUGGGCCCGCGGCCUAUCAGCUUGUUGGUGGGGUGAUGGCCUACCAAGGCGACGACGGGUAGCCGGCCUGGGAGGGUGACCGGCCACACUGGGACUGGGUUACGGCCCAGACUCCUACGGGAGGCAGCAGGGGGGAAUAUGUGAGUAUGGGCGCAAGCCUGAUGCAGCGAGGCCGCGUGAGGGAUGACGGGCUUCGGGUUGUAAACCUCUUUCAGUAGGGACGAAGCGCAAGUGACGGUACCUACAGAAGAAGGACCGGCCAACUACGUGCCAGCCGCCGCAGUAA